GUUAUCUGAACCUUCGGGGAACGAUAACGGCGUCGAGCGGCGGACGGGUGAGUAAUGCCUAGGAAAUUGCCCUGAUGUGGGGGAUAACCAUUGGAAACGAUGGCUAAUACCGCAUGAUGCCUACGGGCCAAAGAGGGGGACCUUCGGGCCUCUCGCGUCAGGAUAUGCCUAGGUGGGAUUAGCUAGUUGGUGAGGUAAGGGCUCACCAAGGCGACGAUCCCUAGCUGGUCUGAGAGGAUGAUCAGCCACACUGGAACUGAGACACGGUCCAGACUCCUACGGGAGGCAGCAGUGGGGAAUAUUGCACAAUGGGCGCAAGCCUGAUGCAGCCAUGCCGCGUGUGUGAAGAAGGCCUUCGGGUUGUAAAGCACUUUCAGUCGUGAGGAAGGUGGUGUAGUUAAUAGCUGCAUUAUUUGACGUUAGCGACAGAAGAAGCACCG
rnacentral:rRNA from 1 species